GGUGGAGCGAUUUGUCUGGUUUAUUCCGAUAACGAACGAGACUCUAGCCUACUAAAUAGACAGCACUUCUUUAGAGUGUUGCACUUCUUAGAGGGACAAGCGACGUCUAGUCGCACGAGAUUGAGCAAUAACAGGUCUGUGAUGCCCUUAGAUGUUCGGGGCUGCACGCGCGCUACACUGAAGGCAUCAUCAUGUCUAUCAACCUACCCCGGAAGGGGCGGGUAACCCGAUGAAACGCCUUCGUGAUUGGGAUAGGGAAUUGCAAUUAUUUCCCUUGAACGAGGAAUUCCCAGUAAGUGCGGGUCAUCAGCUCGCGCUGAAUACGUCCCUGCCCUUUGUAC
rnacentral:rRNA from 1 species